rnacentral:rRNA from 1 species
GAAAGGCGAAAAGAACCCCGGCGAGGGGAGUGAAAAAGAACCUGAAACCGUGUACGUACAAGCAGUGGGAGCACCCUUCGGGGUGUGACUGCGUACCUUUUGUAUAAUGGGUCAGCGACUUAUAUUCUGUAGCAAGGUUAACCGAAUAGGGGAGCCGGAGGGAAACCGAGUCUUAAUUGGGCGUUAAGUUGCAGGGUAUAGACCCGAAACCCGGUGAUCUAGCCAUGGGCAGGUUGAAGGUUGGGUAACACUAACUGGAGGACCGAACCGACUAAUGUUGAAAAAUUAGCGGAUGACCUGUGGCUGGGGGUGAAAGGCCAAUCAAACCGGGAGAUAGCUGGUUCUCCCCGAAAGCUAUUUAGGUAGCGCCUCGUGAAUUCAUCUCCGGGGGUAGAGCACUGUUUCGGCUAGGGGGCCAUCCCGGCUUACCAACCCGAUGCAAACUGCGAAUACCGGAGAAUGUUAUCACGGGAGACACACGGCGGGUGCUAACGUCCGUCGUGAAGAGGGAAACAACCCAGACCGCCAGCUAAGGUCCCAAAGUCAUGGUUAAGUGGGAAACGAUGUGGGAAGGCCCAGACAGCCAGGAUGUUGGCUUAGAAGCAGCCAUCAUUUAAAGAAAGCGUAAUAGCUCACUGGUCGAGUCGGCCUGCGCGGAAGAUGUAACGGGGCUAAACCAUGCACCGAAGCUGCGGCAGCGACACUCAGGUGUUGUUGGGUAGGGGAGCGUUCUGUAAGCCUGUGAAGGUGUGUCGUGAGGCAUGCUGGAGGUAUCAGAAGUGCGAAUGCUGACAUAAGUAACGAUAAAGCGGGUGAAAAGCCCGCUCGCCGGAAGACCAAGGGUUCCUGUCCAACGUUAAUCGGGGCAGGGUGAGUCGACCCCU